rnacentral:rRNA from 1 species
GACGAACGCUGGCGGCGUGCUUAACACAUGCAAGUCGAACGAUGAAGCCUAGCUUGCUAGGUGGAUUAGUGGCGAACGGGUGAGUAAUACGUGAGUAACCUACCUUUAACUCUGGGAUAAGCCCGGGAAACUGGGUCUAAUACCGGAUACGACCAAUCUCCGCAUGGGGUGUUGGUGGAAAGCGUUAUGUAGUGGUUAUAGAUGGGCUCACGGCCUAUCAGCUUGUUGGUGAGGUAACGGCUCACCAAGGCGACGACGGGUAGCCGGCCUGAGAAGGUGACCGGCCACACUGGGACUGAGACACGGCCCAGACUCCUACGGGAGGCAGCAGUGGGGAAUAUUGCACAAUGGGCGCAAGCCUGAUGCAGCGACGCCGCGUGAGGGAUGACGGCCUUCGGGUUGUAAACCUCUGUUAGCAGGGAAGAAGAGAAAUUGACGGUACCUGCAGAGAAAGCGCCGGCUAACUACGUGCCAGCAGCCGCGGUAAUACGUAGGGCGCGAGCGUUGUCCGGAAUUAUUGGGCGUAAAGAGCUUGUAGGCGGUUUGUCGCGUCUGCUGUGAAAGGCCGGGGCUUAACCCCGUGUAUUGCAGUGGGUACGGGCAGACUAGAGUGCAGUAGGGGAGACUGGAACUCCUGGUGUAGCGGUGGAAUGCGCAGAUAUCAUGAAGAACACCGAUGGCGAAGGCAGGUCUCUGGGCUGUAACUGACGCUGAGAAGCGAAAGCAUGGGGAGCGAACAGG